rnacentral:rRNA from 1 species
GGUUAGAGGUCUGCCUGCCCGNGGACAUUAAGUUUAACGGCCGCGGUAUUAUGACCGUGCAAAGGUAGCGUAAUCACUUGUCUUUUAAAUAAAGACCAGUAUGAAUGGCAAGACGAAAGUUCAACUGUCUCCCUAAAUUAAUCAGUGAAAUUGAUUUCUCCGUGCAGAAGCGGAGAUAAAAUUAUAAGACGAGAAGACCCUAUGGAGCUUUAAACAUAUAAUCAAUUGUAUUCCAUAAAAUCCGAAAGAUAAAAUAUAAAAUAAAACAAUAUGAUUAAAAUUUUAGGUUGGGGCGACCACGGAGAAAAACAAAACCUCCGAGAUGAAAAGAAUAUCUUAAUUUAAGAACCACAAUUCCAAAAAAUAAAAUAUUUAACAUAAUUGAUCCAAUAUUUUGAUCAACGAACCAAGUUACCCUAGGGAUAACAGCGCAAUCCUCUCCAAGAGUCCCUAUCGACGAGUGGGUUUACGACCUCGAUGUUGGAUCAGGACACCCCGAUGGUGCAGCCGCUAUUAAAGGUUCGUUUGUUCAACGAUUAAAGUCCUACGU